rnacentral:rRNA from 1 species
UACGGGGGGGGCAAGCGUUGUUCGGAAUUACUGGGCGUAAAGGGCUCGUAGGCGGCCAACUAAGUCAUACGUGAAAUCCCUCGGCUUAACCGGGGAACUGCGUCUGAUACUGGAUGGCUUGAGAUUGGGAGAGGGAUGCGGAAUUCCAGGUGUAGCGGUGAAAUGCGUAGAUAUCUGGAGGAACACCGGUGGCGAAGGCGACUCUUUGGCCUGUAACUGACACUGAGGCGCGAAAGCGUGGGGAGCAAACAGG